UUAUUUCAAUCUGAGAAUAUAAAAAAUGUGGAAUUAUUGUCCUAACGAUGGUCGAAGAUUUAAAGAGCAAGAUCGCUGGUGUCCUCAGUGUUACUGUUCACGGGGAGGAGAAAUAAAAAACGAGUUUGACUGUGUGCAACCGUGGAGGAAAGUACUUUAUCUCAAUCAAGGAUAUCCCGAUAAUUAUACUGAUCCUUCUUUCUUUUUAAAAAGACUUGAAAUGAAUCCGAGCAAAACUCAGCAUAGAUUUUGGGAUCUUUUUGUUUUAACGGGCGUCGUUACUCAGCGUAUAAGCACGUGGGUUAUUUUCUUCUGCUUCUUUACUACCUACGAAAAUAAUAGUUUGGACGAGUCAGUAAACUUUAA